CUACGCAAGCUAAUCUACUUGAUAUCCGUGAGGGUAUGGGUGCGUAACAGAGAAUGACCGCCGGUCGAUUCGUACGGCCGGUAAGGGUGAAAAGGCGGGGUAAGAGCCCACCGCGGAGGCAGCGAUGCGUUCCGGCCGUACGUCCCGUAGGUUGCAAGACCGUGUACACCGACGUUCGAGGGUGGCUCGCCCGAUGUCGGGGGGUAGGUUGCUGGAGGCGGCAGGCGACUGCCGUCGUAGAUAAAUGACAGAGAUCCGGAUCAUUCGCGUCCGGAUACAGAACCCGGCUUACAGGGCCUGCAUUUUU
rnacentral:RNase_P_RNA from 1 species